CCACCUUCGGGUGGUGGACAGUGGCAGACGGGUGAGUAACGCGUGGGAACGUGCCUUUCGGUUCGGAAUAACCCGGGGAAACUCGGGCUAAUACCGCAUACGCUCUACGGAGGAAAGCGGGGGAUCUUCGGACCUCGCGCUAUGAGAUGAGCCUACGUCCGAUUAGCUAGUUGGUAGGGUAAUGGCCUACCAAGGCGACGAUCGGUAGCUGGUCUGAGAGGACGAUCAGCCACACUGGAACUGAGACACGGUCCAGACUCCUACGGGAGGCAGCAGUGGGGAAUAUUGGACAAUGGGCGAAAGCCUGAUCCAGCAAUGCCGCGUGUGUGAAGAAGGCCUGCGGG
rnacentral:rRNA from 1 species